UACGGAGGGUGCAAGCGUUAUCCGGAUUCACUGGGUUUAAAGGGUGCGUAGGCGGACAGGUAAGUCAGUGGUGAAAUCUCUGGGCUUAACCCAGAAACUGCCGUUGAUACUAUUUGUCUUGAAUAUCCUGGAGGUAGGCGGAAUAUGUCAUGUAGCGGUGAAAUGCUUAGAUAUGACAUAGAACACCAAUUGCGAAGGCAGCUGACUACGGGAGCAUUGACACUGAGGCACGAAAGCGUGGGGAUCAAACAGG
rnacentral:rRNA from 1 species